GAAUACAGAAUACAGAAUACAGAAUACAGAAUACAGAAUACAGAAUACAGAAUACAGAAUACUGAAUACUUAAUUCAUAAUACCUAAUACAUAAUACAUCAUACAUAAUAACCAACCCUAGUUCGAAUUCGAGCAAGGUGCGCGCGUUAGCAAAAACGAUCCACUAAACCAGAAACCCGGCCACACUUAAUCGGGUAAAUAGAUAGCACAAGCAAAAUCGAUAGACCCAGCCAAUCCCUAUAUAAAGCGGGCGGCCGGCCUCUGGGAACUCAGUCAGUGGCCGGCAGCGAUCGGAUGGAAGUCAUCAACCAACAGCGACCAGCCAGCUCUACAGCAUGAUCUCCCAGUGAUAAAUAUAAUAAACCAGGAUAGGUCCAACAACAAUUCUCUCUGCUGACUUCAGGGUCCAACAACAACUCUCUCUUCUGACUUCAGGGUCCAACUACAAUAACAACUCCCUCUGCUGACUUCAGGGUCCAACACAAACAACAAUUCUCCCCGCUGACUUUCGGGUCCGAUAACAACAACAACCAUACCUUCCCCAUUGCUGACUUAAGGCGUUUCUAUGUAUUCCCAGGCAUUGCACGACAUCCAGGCACCGAACACGAGGGACCCGUUUACAGCCGGAGGAUCCAGACGCGAGAAGCUCCACCCACGGAUACCGGACCUCAGACGCGUGAAGCCCCACCGAGCAAGCCCCGCAGCCAUACCAUUCCCUUCCAUAUCAUUCCGUGUAGAAAUUAGAAUAAAUCAUCUCUGUAUAA